AUUGAACGCUGGCGGCAUGCUUUACACAUGCAAGUCGAACGGUAACAGGUUAAGCUGACGAGUGGCGAACGGGUGAGUAAUGCAUCGGAACGUGCCCGAUCGUGGGGGAUAACGCAGCGAAAGCUGCGCUAAUACCGCAUACGAUCUGAGGAUGAAAGCGGGGGACCGUAAGGCCUCGCGCGAUCGGAGCGGCCGAUGUCAGAUUAGGUAGUUGGUGGGGUAAAGGCCCACCAAGCCGACGAUCUGUAGCUGGUCUGAGAGGACGACCAGCCACACUGGGACUGAGACACGGCCCAGACUCCUACGGGAGGCAGCAGUGGGGAAUUUUGGACAAUGGGCGAAAGCCUGAUCCAGCAAUGCCGCGUGCAGGAAGAAGGCCUUCGGGUUGUAAACUGCUUUUGUACGGAGCGAAAAGGUCCUUUCUAAUACAAGGGGCUCAUGACGGUACCGUAAGAAUAAGCACCGGCUAACUACGUGCCAGCCGCCGCCGUAAGAC
rnacentral:rRNA from 1 species